AGAUAAUGUUGCCCAGCCAAUCAGCAUUCAAUAUUAUUUAAUGAUUUCUUCCUUUUGCAAUGUUCUUAUGGCAAAUUGAUCGACAUUUAACAAACGACUGUCAAAAACCAAUCUCGGCAUGCUUAGAUUGGAUGAUACAGAGGCAAUUGUGGUUAUCAAUAUGAGAGAAAGUGCAACUUCCGAGGACAGGACUGGGUCUGCAAAACAUCAGCUCUCCAAAACCCCUAGAGAUCACCGCAGGUUACAGGUGACAAAUGAGUGGGGCGAACAGUUGGCUCUUAGGGAUUUAAUUCAUUUGCAUUUGUUGAAAGGUGGAGGAUGCUGGUUAACUAGAGUGCAUAGAAUCGAGUGACAAUGGAGAUAAGCCAGUCACCAGAACGACUUCUAAUUCUGCCAGGACCACUAUUAACAGAUAUGCUAUAGAAAGCAGUCAUGUUCGCAAUUUUGAUCUGGACAAAGAAGAGGGCCAAGAUGAUCGGCAUGUCAGUGUAACUGAAAGUGUUGUAGAGCUUUGUGAUGUUGAGAGUAAUAUAGCUGGAGGACGGAACAGUGCUCACCCGCUCCUUCACAGGCUUGUUCACCAUGUUAUGCUUAAGAAGGAAGCUGAAAGGUCGCUCGCCUUGGAUGUGAAAUAGACUAAGAAGAAAAGCUUGCCCCUCUAAAACAAGCAACGCUAUUUGGAGCAACAAUGCAAGUAGAAGUAUAGCAAUGAACAUUGCAAGCACAACAUUUAACAGGGAUAGUAGAUUCACAACUUGAACCAGGAUUUGAUAAGAUAUCUACAAUCAUCUGUCUUGACAAAUCUAAUAGAUGCAAUGGACCACUUUCAAUAUGUUUCGCAAAGUCUAUUUCCCCUGAUUUGCUUGAGAAUGGAUAACGUUUAAAAUAUAUCCAGUCACACAAAGGUUUGGAUAAGCAAUCUUGUACUAAUCCAGAGUCUUUCCAUUCCAAUUGUAGGAUCAUUUUCAGAAUACAGAAAGGAAUCUCAUUUUCCAACUUCAAAAUGUCUAGUAUAAUCUCUCGUCUUUUGAUUUUAUGUCUUGAAGCAUGCAUCCAUGACCGUCAUUCACACAAGCAUAUCUUAAUCCCAUUCAACGGCUGAAUCUUCAUAGCAAACUUUGAUUUUUGUAUCUAGCUCUUUGACUUUUGCGACUAAACUGUCUAUGGUCAUGUGAGGGAUCCUUUCCAAGGUUUUGUUUACUACUUGGAGCUUAUAUUUGUCCGUUGUAGUCAGCUGCUAGUGUUUCUUGUGAUGAUAAGGUCCAAGAAAUACAACCAGAGGAUCAUAUACUCCUCGUUUUGUUUUCUUUAUGGGUUCAGGCACCCAAUAUAUGGACACACAAGUAGACAUUUUUA